UACGUAGGUGGCAAGCGUUGUCCGGAAUUAUUGGGCGUAAAGCGCGCGCAGGCGGUCCUUUAAGUCUGAUGUGAAAGCCCACGGCUCAACCGUGGAGGGUCAUUGGAAACUGGGGGACUUGAGUGCAGGAGAGAAGAGUGGAAUUCCACGUGUAGCGGUGAAAUGCGUAGAGAUGUGGAGGAACACCAGUGGCGAAGGCGACUCUUUGGCCUGUAACGUGACGCUGAGGCGCGAAAGCGUGGGAGCAACAGG
rnacentral:rRNA from 1 species